rnacentral:lncRNA from 1 species
AAGAGAUAGAGAGAGAGAGAGAGACUAUCAUCUUUCCCAAAUUUCGAUUUAUUAUUUUCUCGAAUAUUCCAGCAAAAAAAUAAAGAAAUAAUGAAUUCAGAAUCGUUAGAAAAUCUCCACCGACCACUGAUUGAAUCAUCGAAAUCGUUCAUCGACUACCGGCUCGAGACUGUCUUAACCGACCGAGAACUGCCGUACCUCCGCCGGAUCUACCUGGCGAUGAUGAUAGAGAUGAAGUUCCUCUUCCACCUUGCCGCUCCGGCGAUCUUCGUCUACGUCAUCAACAACGGAAUGUCCAUUCUCACUCGUAUCUUCGCCGGCCACGUAGGCAGCUCCCAACUAGCAGCCGCUUCACUCGGAAACAGUGGUUUCAACAUGUUCACUUAUGGACUUCUGGUAAUAACAGUCUCCUCUGAAUCUUAACCGGUUUCUAAACCGAUCUGUUGUAACUUAAACUUAAUCUAAACCGGUUACUCAACUGAUCUACUGCAAUUUGCAACGUAAACCGAAUCUAACCGGUUCUAUUGAAACUUAAACUGAAUCUAACCGGUUCUAUUGCAACUUAAACGGAAUCUAACCGGUUUUGUUGAUUUCUGUUAAUAACGAUUUCAUCUCUAAACCGGUUUCUUAACCGAUCUAUUGCAACUUAAUCUGAAUCUAACCGGUUUUGUUAAUUUUCCGGUUAUGUAGCUCGGUAUGGGAAGUGCGGUGGAGACGUUAUGUGGACAAGCGCAUGGAGCUCAUCGUUACGAGAUGCUCGGCGUUUACCUCCAAAGAUCAACGGUGGUUCUCAUCAUCACCUGUCUCCCGAUGUCGCUCCUCUUCAUCUUCUCGAAGCCUCUCCUCAACACACUCGGCGAGCCAGAACAAGUCGCGUCAAUGGCUUCCGUCUUCGUCUACGGCAUGAUCCCAGUGAUAUUCGCCUACGCGGUUAACUUCCCCAUCCAGAAGUUCCUCCAAGCUCAGAGCAUCGUCACGCCGAGCGCUUACAUCUCCGCCGCGACUCUGGUCAUUCACCUUGUCCUCUCGUGGAUCGCUGUGUAUCGACUAGGGUUCGGUCUCUUGGCUUUGUCUUUGAUCCAUAGCUUGUCGUGGUGGAUCAUCGUUGCCGCUCAGAUUGUGUACAUCAAGAUGAGUCCGAGAUGUCGCCGGACGUGGGAAGGUUUUAGCUGGAAAGCUUUUGAAGGUCUUUGGGACUUUUUCCGGUUAUCGGCGGCUUCAGCGGUGAUGCUCUGCCUAGAGUCGUGGUACUCUCAGAUUCUUGUUUUACUCGCCGGACUUCUCAAGAACCCUGAGCUUGCUUUGGAUUCUUUGGCUAUAUGGUAACUUUUAAAACUCUAAAAUCUCAUUAGAUAAUAACAUUAAUUAAAUUGCAAAAAAUAACAUUAAAUUGCAAAACAAGAUAUUAAAUUGAAUAUCUACGUAAUUAGCUGUUUUUUUACAUAUCUGUUUUCAUAUAUGAUAUACAUUAUAAAUUAAGUUACUAUGUUAGUAAGAUACUUUCACUUUUUUCAAGAUAUAAAAGUGUCGAUAAUGAAAGUUCUAAGAAAAUUAUUCACAUAAUCAAAAAAAUACUCACACUAAAUAUAAAUAUAAGUUCUAUUUAUUUAAGAAUCUAAUUUAUUAAUUCAGAGUUCUAUUUUUUACCUACUUACAAAUAAUCGAAGUUGGACAAUUACAUUUAACUAGCUUUACUAUUAUUUUUACUUAUACCUAAUUUAAUUAUUGUUUAAUAUAUGUAUACCCUAACCUAAAAUUAAGGAACGAAAUAACUAAUCUAUUGUUUUUAACAAAUUUAAUUUAUAUUAACACUACUUUUAAGUAAAUAAUCAAUUAUAUUUUUUUAUUAAUAUAAAAAGAAUUAUAUAUACAAUUGUACUUUAAUUCAAAUGCAAGAACCAGAUUCUUAUAGAUAGAUUAUCAAAAUUAGAUAUAUAUAUAUAUAUAUAUAUAUGAUAAAAUAAAUAAUAAUAGUUAUUAAUGUUUAAUGAGUAUUUUUUAUUGAUAUUAUUGAUAUUAUUGAUAUUGGUGGAACAUGUUAUUAUUGAUAUUUUUUAUAAGUAUAGUUUUACGGGUUGUUCAAAAAUAUUUAUCAAAUAUAAAACUAAUUGAACAAAACAUAAAACAUACUUUAUGUUAGGCUCGGGCGUUCAUGUACCCGUUGGGUACGGGUUGGAAAUUUGAAAUUUCGAUUUAAAUUUAUAUUACAUCCUAUGUCUCAUUCUGGUAAAUUUAUAAGUACGGAUCAAGUUUAGAUAUAAAAAACUGGUUUUGCUUCUAAUUUAUACCACAUCAUAAAAUCCAUAAAGUAACCAUAUAUUGUUUUGAUUUUGGUUAUAUGGGUUCGGUUCGGAUAUAUCCGAAGUUAAAUCCAAUUUUUUUAAGCAAAACAUAAGAAAUAAACUUAUUUAAAUAGAAUUGUAUAUUUAAAGUGCUUUUUGAAAAUUUAAAUACUUACUUUUUAUUAUAAUUUCACUAUAAAUAUAAAACUGAAUAUUUGAAGUACAUAUUUAUGUUUCACAUAUUUAUAUUUGUGAUUAAUUUGGAUUUCAUAUAUUUUUUGGUUUUCUGAGAUUGCCUGUUCGGGUUCGGCUAAUAACACUUUAGGUUCGGAUAUAUGACGUACCACCCUACAAAACAUAUUCUGGGAUUUUUACAUUUCGUACUGGAUAUGGAUCGGGUUCUUUGGUUUAAGUUCGGUACAUACUUUGGUUUACGGAUUUUAUGCUCAGACCUAUUUUGAAUAAAGAGAAAAUGCAAUUAUAUAAAGUUUUUACCAAAAAAUUAUUCCGCGCUUUAGCGCGGGUCAAAAUCUAGUUCUUCUCAUUAAAAAGAUCCAACACUUAAAUAGGUUUCCAAACCGUUGUUGGUAUUAGUUUUCAAAUGAUCAAUCAUUUCAAUAUUAUAGAAAUGUGCAUAUAUCAGUUAUUUUUACUAAUGUUUAGUUAGUUUAGAAAAUUAUACAGUUUGAGAUUUUGUAGAAAUAGUUUAGAUAAAAAUUGAAAUUGUUUAAGAAAACAUGCUGGCAUAUUUACAUGUUAUCUGUUUAAAAAAUAUAUAAUAUAUAUUGAAAAUGAUUGUGAAAAUGAAACAUAAGCAUUUUGUAAAAUCGUUUUUCAAAUAAUAUAUAUUUAAAAGAUGUGUAAUUUUGGGCCUUGCUGGAUACGAUACAACAGAAAACAAAAAUUAUUCAAAAGUGCAAAACAGCCUUUCCCCGUUUCUUCAUUUCCAGUUUUGAUUUAUUUAUGAAUUAUUCUUGGAUUCACCCCCUAGGUUCACCAACCAAUAGGAUUAUGUUAUUUCAAAUUUGAUAUCUUUUAUAAAAGGAAACAAAAUAUUAUCAAAUUAUAUUAUGUUUUUAAAAUAAAAAGAUAAAAAAUAAAAAUAAUAGUAAUUACAAAAAAAAAUAUUUUUAAGUCGUCAGGAAAAAAACUAAACCCUAAAUCCUAAUCCCUAAAUCCGAAACCCUAAACCCUUGGAUAAACCAUAAAUCUUUGGAUAAAUCAUAAACUCUAAAUUAAAAACAUUAAACACUAAAACACUCAAGGGUUUAAGAUUAUAGUGUUUAGUGUUUUUGAUUUAAAAUUUAUGAUUUAUCCAAGGGUUUAGGAUUUAUCCAAGGAUUUAGGGUUUGCCCAAGGGUUUAGGAUUUACCCAAGGGUUUAGGAUUUAUCCAAGAGUUUAGGAUUUCAGAUUUAGGGUUUAGGGAUUAGGAUUUAGGGUUUAGUGUUUUGCUGACGACGUUAACAAUAUUUAAAAAAAAAAUCUUUUUUUUUGUAACUACUAUUUUUUCUACCUUUUUAUUUUAAAAACAUAAAAUAAAAUGAUAAUAUUUUGUUUCUUUUUUUAAAAGAUAUUAAAUUUGAAAUAGCACAAUCCUAUUGGUUGGUGAACCUAGAGGUUCACCAUAGGGGGUCAUAGUCAAAUAAAAAGUUAAAUAUUAUUAUUUCCGUCAGCAUACACGGCAAAACUCGCAUUAUAUAAGGCCUACCGAAGUUGCAGAGAGACACAGACACACACACACACAAGAGAUAGAGAGAGAGAGAGAGACUAUCAUCUUUCCCAAAUUUCGAUUUAUUAUUUUCUCGAAUAUUCCAGCAAAAAAAUAAAGAAAUAAUGAAUUCAGAAUCGUUAGAAAAUCUCCACCGACCACUGAUUGAAUCAUCGAAAUCGUUCAUCGACUACCGGCUCGAGACUGUCUUAACCGACCGAGAACUGCCGUACCUCCGCCGGAUCUACCUGGCGAUGAUGAUAGAGAUGAAGUUCCUCUUCCACCUUGCCGCUCCGGCGAUCUUCGUCUACGUCAUCAACAACGGAAUGUCCAUUCUCACUCGUAUCUUCGCCGGCCACGUAGGCAGCUCCCAACUAGCAGCCGCUUCACUCGGAAACAGUGGUUUCAACAUGUUCACUUAUGGACUUCUG